GACGAACGCUGGCGGCGUGCUUAACACAUGCAAGUCGAGCGGUAAGGCCCUUUCGGGGGUACACGAGCGGCGAACGGGUGAGUAACACGUGGGUGACCUGCCCUGAUGAUCGGGACAACCCGGGGAAACCCGGGCUAAUACCGAAUGUGCCCGCGAGCCGCAAGGCUUGCGAGGAAAGGAAGCUUCGGCCUCCGCAUCGGGAUGGGCCCGCGGCCCAUUAGCUUGUUGGUGGGGUAACGGCCUACCAAGGCAGCAAUGGGUAGCUGGUCUGAGAGGACGAUCAGCCACACUGGGACUGAGACACGGCCCAGACUCCUACGGGAGGCAGCAGUGGGGAAUCUUGCGCAAUGCGCGAAAGCGUGACGUAGCAACGCCGCGUGGGGAAGACGGCCUCGGUUGUAACCC
rnacentral:rRNA from 1 species